GACGAACGCUGGCGGCGUGCUUAACACAUGCAAGUCGAACGGAAAGGCCCUGCUCUUGUUGGGUGCUCGAUUGGCGCACGUGUGAGAAACACGUGAGUAACCUCCCCCUGACUUUGUGAUAACUUCAGGAAACUGCGGAUAAUACCGGAUAGGAGCUCCUGCUGCAUGGUGUGGGUUGGACAGUUUCGGCGGUUGGGGAUGGACUCGCGGCUUAUCAGCUUGUUGGUGGGGUAGUUGCUUACCAAGGCUUUGACGGGUAGCCGGCCUGAGAGGGUGACCGGCCACCUGGCGCCUGCGAGACGGCCCAGAAUCGUACGGGCGGCAGUAGUGGGGAGUAUUACACAACAAGCGGGAGCGUGAUGCAAAGACCCCGGGAGCGGGAAGACGGCCUUCGGGGUGUGAACCGCUUUCGCCUGUGACGAAGCGUGAGUGACGGUAACGGGUAAAGAAGCACCGGCUAACUACGUG
rnacentral:rRNA from 1 species